UACAGAGGUGGCAAGCGUUGUUCGGAAUUACUGGGCGUAAAGGGCGCGUAGGCGGCCCCUUAAGUCACGUGUGAAAGCCCUCGGCUUAACCGAGGAACUGCACGUGAAACUGGGGGGCUUGAGUUCGGGAGAGGGAAGCGGAAUUCCGGGUGUAGCGGUGAAAUGCGUAGAUAUCCGGAGGAACACCGGUGGCGAAGGCGGCUUCCUGGACCGACACUGACGCUGAGGCGCGAAAGCUAGGGGAGCAAACGGG
rnacentral:rRNA from 1 species